GACGAACGCUGGCGGCGUGCUUAACACAUGCAAGUCGAACGGUGAAGCGCCUUCCUUUUUGGUGGGUGUGGAUGAGUGGCGAACGGGUGAGUAACACGUGAGUAACCUGCCCCCUUCUUCUGGAUAACCGCAUGAAAGUGUGGCUAAUACGGGAUAUUCUGGGUCUGUCGCAUGAUGGGUCUGGGAAAGAUAUUGUUUCGGUGGGGGAUGGGCUCGCGGCCUAUCAGCUUGUUGGUGGGGUGAUGGCCUACCAAGGCGGUGACGGGUAGCCGGCCUGAGAGGGUGGACGGUCACACUGGGACUGGGACACGGCACAGACUCCUACGGGAGGCAGCAGUGGGGAAUAUUGCACAAUGGGCGCAAGCCUGAUGCAGCGACGCCGCGUGAGGGAUGGAGGCCUUCGGGUUGUGAACCUCUUUCGCCAGUGAAGCAGGCCUGCCUCGUUUGUGGGUGGGUUGACGGUAGCUGGAUAAGAAGCGCCGGCUAACUACGUG
rnacentral:rRNA from 1 species